UUGGUUGUUUUUUGUUUUUUUUUUUCCUCUUUUGGAGCUGUGAGGAAUUUUAGCAAAAUUAGAGAGGCUUUGUUAUUCAUAAUUCUGAGUUCUCUCUCAGAUUUGACCAAGUCAGGAAGAGUUGGUCAAAUCUGAAGAGAGAAAGACCAGAACAAACAACAACAAAAAACCAACAAUAUAAUCACUGAGCACUCUAAUGGUGAGGAGAAAUUAAGACCAGCUGGUUGUUAACUUUAGCCAAGACAAAACCCCAAUUCACCUGCUUACCAAGGGAUAGGUCUCAGGCUGAAGAUUAUCCUUUACCAUCCUG
rnacentral:lncRNA from 1 species